rnacentral:lncRNA from 1 species
GGGGCCUCUGGAGCCAGUCUUCCCAAGGUGAAAUCCUAACUUUGCCACUUACUAGCCAUGUGAACUUGGGCAAGUGACCUAAUCCUCUGCAUUUCAUCUCUAAAUUGGGGAGAAUAGAAGCAUCUACUUCAUGUAGUAGCCAGGAUUAGAAGAGGGAGGAAUAACUGGGCCCUGGAUAGAAUGUGAUGAAUGAAUAUUCUUAAUGAGAAGUGGAAAUAAUUUGUGGUUGAGAGCUGUGCCUCAGAUCAGAGUGACAGGAUACAUGGCUAGGCUAUAUUUUCCAGCAGAUUAAGAGCUGCAGCCCAAGACUCUGAAAUAUGAAGAAAAAAGGAGAAGAUGACAGCAUAUCUUUUUAAAGAAAUAUUUUCCAGCCAAAUGGUGCAGCAGAGGACUUCCAGGAAUUUGUUCUUGUUCUGUAUCAAAGGUGAAGAGUUCGUAGCCUUCAAGGAAACAAGAAACCAUGGGAUGGAGUGAAGGAAGGUGGCCUGGAACCAGCUGCUGAGCCUCUCUGAGCCCCAGUUUCCUCAUCUCUAAAAUGGGGCUGAUCUCCUCUCCCUCAGACUGUUGUUGCAGGAAUUAAAACAGGUGUUGAGUGGGAAAGCAUCAGUCCCAUAGCAAAUGGCCCC